rnacentral:lncRNA from 10 species
CUAAGCUCCGCCCCUUCCGCCUGCGCCACCAGUGGGGGCUGAUGCGGGCGCAGUGGAUUGGCGGGCUCCCGCAGCUGCCACGUAAAGGGAGGCACGGCAGCCGCCGAGGGACAAGCGACUCUGCGCGGCCCGAGCCUGGACGGCGGCUCCGAAGGACCAAAAAUUUUUCCCUAGUCCUUUCUCGUCCAAGCUAAAGUUCCUGUGGACUUCCCAGGAAAACGACAGUGUCCGGAAGCCUCUGCAAUGCCCUCUUAGGAUUGUCCAAGAAGAUGGCGAAACAUUUGCAGGCAGCGAUAGGAGUUGAGGGAAUGUGCGGGCUGAAACUAAGGUUUUUUUCUUUUGUUUUGUUUCGUUUUUGAGACGGAGUCUUGCUCUGUCGCCCAGGCUGGAGUCCAGUGGCGCGAUCUCGGCUCACUGCAACCUCCGUCUCCCGGGUUCCAGAGAUUCUCGUGCCUCAGCCUCGCGAGUAGCUGGGAUUACAGGCGUGAGCCACCACGCUUGGUUAAUUUUUGUGUUUUUUGUUUGUUUGUUUUUUGAGACGGAGUCUCUUUCUGUCGCCCAGGAGUGCAGUGGCGCGAUCUCGGCUCACUGCAACCUCCGCCUCCUGGGCUCAAGCGAUUCUCCUGCCUCAGCCUCCUGAGUAGCUGGGAUUACAGGCGCCCGCCACCACGCCCGGAUAAUUUUUUGUAUUUUUAGUAGAGACGGGGUUUCACUAUGUUGGUCAGGCUGGUCUUGAAUUCUUGACCGCGUGAUCCGCCCUCCUCGGCGUCCCAAAGUGCUGCUGGAAUUACAGGUGUGAGCCACCGCGCCCGGCCAAUUUUUUUUUUUUUUUAUUUUUUAGUAGAGACGGGGUUUCGCCAUGUUGGCCAGUCUGGUCUGGAACUCCUGACCUCAAGUGAUCCGCCCUCCUCGGCCUCCCAAAGUGCUGAGAUUACAGAAGUAAGCUACCGCGCCAGGCCUGAAGCCAUGGGUUUUGAGGGGUGUUUAUUUGUUUGUUUGCUUAGAGAUGGGGUCUUGAUCUGUCGCCCAGGCUGGAGUGCGGUGGCGCGAUCAUAGCUCACUGCAGCCUCCAACUCCUGGGCAAGUGAUCCUCCUGCCUCAGCCAACCCAAUAGCUGGGAUUACAGGCGCGAAGCCCACUGGUUUUUAGGUUUCAUGUUGCCUCUCCCACCCCCUCUCCUUCCAGGGGACUGGGGAACGGUGGAGGCUCAUAUAGACCUGAAAGGGGCACGAGGGAUCCUCCCAGGUUGCUGGAAUCUCUAGUAUCUUUACCUAGGUGGUAGAUACGUGGAUGUCUACAUUUUUUAAAAAAAUCAAUUAGACUAUUACAUUUUUAUUUUAUUUUGAGACAGCUUUUCACUCUUGUCACCCAGGCUGGAGCGCAAUAGUGCAAUCUCAGCUCACUGCAACCUCCACCUCCGGGUUUCAAGCUAUUCUUCUCCCUUAGCCUCCCAAGUAGCUGGGAUUACGGGCGCCUGCCACCACACCCAGGUAAUUUUUGUAUUUUUAGUAGAGACGGGUUUUCACCAUGUUGGUCAGGCUGGUCUCGAACUCCUGACCUUCAGAUGAUCCACCCGCCUCUGCCUUCCAAAGUACUGGGAUUAACAGGCGUGAGCCUCCACACCCAGCAACUAUUGCAUUUUAUUUUACUGUAUGUAUGUAAUACCUUAACCACACACAAAAAAUUACCUUGUUCAAAUUUUCCAGAAUUAGAAUUCUACCAGUUCCCCAAAGUCUUGCUGUUUCUCCAUGCCCCUUAGCCCUUACCAGCUGCUAGAGCUGUCUUUUCAUCCUUUGCACCCUGGCACACUCCUACUCAUCCCUCAGAACCCAAAUGUCACCUCUUAUCUCUAAAAUGUUCCUUGACAUCCUUCUGCCAAAUACUAGCCCCUUCCUCUCUGUUUACAAUGCAGAUUCGGUCCUAGUGAAUUACUGUUAUUUUCUACUCUGCCUCACUCAUGAAGGCACAAGACUUGAUUUACAUACGCUGUCCUCUUCAGGCCCUGCCACAGGGCCACAGAAGGACCUCACACAUUUCAUGUCAAUUGAGGUCACUGGACUGACCUGGGAAUGAGGAGCCUGGGUUGUUACUCCACUUUUGCACAUAGAUGUGUGACCUUGAUUAUUUUCCACCACGUCCUGGCCUCGGUUUCCUUAUCUGUUAAAAGGGAAUGACACCACAGGCCUUGCAAAAUUGAAGGGAUUAUUUCUUUGAAGACCAACAGGCGAUAGGGGGCAGUAGUGUCCCAGGAUCCAGUUUCCCGCUUCAGGUUUCAAGAAACAGGAGCAGCUGCAGUGAUGAAGUUUUCCCGACUAUGACAGUGUACAGUUGACCUUGAACAACGUGGGGGUUUGGGGCACCGACCCCUGCACAGUCCAAAAUCCUGGGGUCUUUUUUUUAAUUUGACAUGGAGUCUCCCUCUGUCGCCAAGGCUGGAGUGCAGUGGCGCGAUCUCAGCUCAUUGCAACCUCUGCCUCCCGGGUUGAAGCAAUUCUCCUGCCUCAGCCGCCCAAGUAGCUGAGAUUACGGGCGCCCGCCACCAUGCCCGGCUAAUUUUUGUAUUUUUAGUAGAGACGGGGUUUCACCAGGUUGGCCAAGCUGGUCACGAACUCCUGACCUCAGGUGAUCCACCCGCCUCGGCCUCCCAAAGUGCUGUGAUUACAGGCAUGAGCCACUGCGCCUGGCCUCAUUUUUGACUCCCCAAAAACAACUUUUUUUUUUUUUUUUUUUUUGAGAUGGAGUUUUGCUCUUGUCGCCCAGGCUGGAAUGCAAUGGCACGAUCUCGGCUCACUGCAACCUCCACUUCCCAGUUCAAGCAGUUCUGCCUCAGCUUCCUGAGUAGCUGGGAUUACAAGUGCCCACCACCACGCCUGGCUAAUUUUUAUAUUUUUAGUAGAGACUGGGUUUCGCCAUGUUGGCCAGGCUAGUCUCGACUCCUGACCUCAGGUGAUCUACCCGCUUUGGCCUCCCAAAGUGCUGGGAUUACAGGCGUGAGCCACUGCGCCCAGCCCAAAAACUUAACUAUUGACAGCAUACUGUUGACCAGAAGCCUUACCAAUGACAGUUGAUUAGCAUUUUGUUUGUUUGUUUUUCGUUUUUGUUUUGAGAUGGAAUCUCGCUCUGUUGCCCAGGCUGUAGUGCAGUGAUGUGAUCUCGGUUCACUGUAACCUCUGCCUCCUGGGUUCAAGUGAUUCUCCUGCCUCAACCUCCCAAGUAGCUGGGACCACAGGCACCCGCCACCAUGCCAGGCUAAUUUUUGUAGUUUUAGUACAGAUGGGGUUUCAACAUGUUGGCCAGGGUGGUCUCGAACUCCUGGCCUCAAGUGAUCCACCCACUCUGGCCUUCCAAAGUGCUGGGAUUACAGGCAUCAGCCACUGUGCCUGGCCAAUGACAGUUGAUUAGCAUAUUUUGUAUGUUAUAUAUAUUACAUGCUGUAUCCUUACAAUAAACCAGAGAAAAGAAAUUGUUAUUAAGAAAAUAAUAAGGAUGAGAAAAUAUAUUUACUCUUCAUGUAGUGGAAGUGACUCAUGGUAAAGCUCUUCAUCCUUGUCAUCUUUAUGUUGAGUAGGCUGAAGAGGAGGGGAGGAGGAAGGGUUGGUCUUGCUGUCUUGGGGGGUGGCAGAAGUGGAAGAAGUGGUGGAGGUGGAAAGAGAGAGGCAUGAGAGGCGGCAUACUUGGUGUAACUUUUAUUUAUUUAUUUAUUUUUAUUGAGAUGGAGUCUCGCUCUUUCGCCCUGGCUGGAGUACAGUGGCUCAACCUCGGCUCACUGCAACCUCUGUCUCCCAGGCUCAAGAGACUCUCCUGCCUCAGCCUCCCAAGUGGCUGGGAUUACAGGCGCCGGCCACUAUGCCCGGCUAAUUUUUGAAUUUUUAGUAGAGACAGGGUUUCACCAUGUUGGCCAGACUGGUCUCGAACUCCUGGCCUCAACUGAUCCGCCUGCCUCCGCCUCCCAAAGUGCCAGGAUUACAGAUGUGAGCCACGGUGCCCAGCCAGGUGAAAAAAAUCCAUAUAUAAGCGGACCCAUGCAUUUCAAACCUGCGUUGUUCAAGGGUUAACUGUAUUAUUGAACUGAAGAGUUCUACUGGUGAUCCCCUACUUCCCCAUCUUCCAGACUGGCAGACAUCCUGCUUUCCCUGGCAGGAUCUGCAGUCAAAUUUACCCAGAGGAUCCCAGGCUCUUAGGACUUGACAGGUCACCCACAGUAAAGUACGCCUGUAGUCCUAGCUACUCAGGAGGCUGAGGCAGGAGAGUCACUUGAACCCAGGAGGUGGAGGUGGUAGUGAGCCGAGAUUGCACCACUGUACUCCAUCCUGGGCAACAGAGCGAGACUUCGUCUCAAAAUAAAUAAAUAAAGUGUUAUACUUCAGUGGUUUCUGGUAUAUUCUCAGAGUUGUUCAAACAUCACCACUAUCUAAUUUCAAAACAUCUUAUUGCCCCAAAAAAGAAACCCUGUACCCAUUAGCAGUCAUUCCCCAAUCCCUCCUCUGCCCAGCCCUGGCAACCACUGUCUACUUUCUGUUCUGUGGAUUUGGAGUAGAAUCAUAUAGUAUGUGGCCUCUUGUGACUGGCUUCCUUCUCUUGGCAUGAUGUUUAAAGGUUCAUCUACAUUGUAGUGUGUGUCAGGAUUUCAUUUCUUUUUGUGGCUGAAUCAUAUUCCAUGGUAUGCAUGCACCACAUUUUGUCUACGGAUAUUUGAGUUGUUUCCACAUUUUGGCUAUUAUUAAUGCUGCUAUACACAUUUGGCAGAGUGCAGUAGCUCACACCUAUAAUCCUAGCACUUUGGGAGGCUGAGGCAAACGGAUCAAUUGAGGCAGGAGUUUGAGACCAGCUUGGCCAACAUGGCAAAACCCCGUCUCUACUAAAAAUAUAUAGCCAGGCAUGGUGGUGCAUGUCUGUAAUCCCAGCUGUUCAGGAGGCUAAGGCACAAGAAUCGCUUGAAUCCGAGAGGCAGAGCUUGCAGUGAGCCAAGAUCGCACCACUGCACUGACAGUGUUUCAUCAUGUUGGCCAAGCUGGUUUCAAACUCCUGAUCUCAAGUGAGCUGCCCACCUUGUUCUCUCAAAGUGCUGAGAUUACAGGCAUGAGCCCCUGCACCCAGCCUGCAUAACUUUUUUUAAAAGGCAUUGUUGCCUUGUUCCCUUGAAUCACUUUCUCUGGGAAACUAGCUAUCAUGUCAUGAGGACACUCAAGCAGCUCUGGGAGAGACCCCCUGUGGCUAGAAGCUGUGGAUUCUCACCAACAGCCAUGCAAGAUUCCCCAGCCCCAGUCGAGCCUUCAGAUGACCACAGCCCCAGCUGAUAUCUUGACUGCAAUAUCAUGAAAAACCAUGUGUCAGAACUGCUCAGACAUGUUGCUCCCAAAUUCUGGACCUGCAGAAACCAUGAAAGACAAUAAAUGAUUAUUGCUGUUUUAGGUCACUAUGUUUUGAGCUAACUUCUUACACAGCAAUAGAUACUAAUGCAUAUUUUAACCAGUUUCCUACAUUAAAACCUUUCUGUUGGAAAGACCUGGAGUGUGUUUUAUUUUUCUGACUGAUACAAACUCCUGUCCUGAAUUGUAAACCAAGAGUGAAAAAAUAAGAAAAAAGAGUAAAGAAGAUGGAAUAUCUAAAUACAGUCAUGUGUUACUUGAUGACAGCAAUACAUUCUGAGAAACAUAUGGGUGGCAAUUUUGUGGU